UCCCUGGUGGUCCAGUGGUUAGGACUCUGUGCUUUCAUUGCGGAGGGCCCAGGUUUAAUCCCUGGUGAGGGAA